rnacentral:lncRNA from 1 species
GUGAAACGCACAGCUUCCAGAUCCAGUCUCUAGACCUGGCAAACUUUCAACCAUGUCUGCAGGAGGGAGAAGAUGCAGAAGAAGCACGAAACAAAACGACCGUGAAGGCUCUCUACGGAGCCUUGACCUCCAACGACGUUGAUGUCGUCCACCUCCUCCUCGCACCCUAUCUCGAGUGGUGGUUCCAUGGCCCACCAACCCACCAGCAUUUGAACAGCCUGCUCACCGGUGCGUCACCAUACGACCCGUCAUUCAAGUUCGUCCCGCUCUCCAUCGUCGCGUUCGGGUCAAUGGUGCUGGUUGAAGGAUUCGACGAUUGUCGUUCGGUGUCGUGGGUGCAUGCAUGGACCGUGACGGACGGGAUAAUUACCCAGGUCAGGGAAUAUUACAACACGUCCGUCACAGUCACCCGGUUAUCGUCACCCGAAAUUAGGUCACAGUCAAGCAAUUGCCAGAGUGUGUGGCAAAGUAAGUUAGCGGAUAAUGGGUCUGUGCCUGGCCUCGUUUUGGCACUGUAA